GAAAUGACUUUUAUGAUGAGAACUUCAACUGAGUCAGGGGGGCUGGGAGAUAGGAAAGGAAGGAUUGCUACUAAUACUUAUUGGUGUCUCUGUGCAAUAUAUCUUGUGUAUGAUAUUAACAUUUUUCCAAAUCAUCUUAGAUAGUUUUUAUGGCCCCCAAUUUGCUAGUGAGGAAACAGUAUUUCAGAGCGGUUAAUUAACUUGGCCAAGCCCACACAGCAAAUAAGAGCAGAGUUGUUUUUAAAUCUAAUGCCCUUUUCCCUCCAGGACUCUGGUAUUUUGGUCAGAUGAGACUUUUGUGGCCUCCAACUCUCUGUGGGCUCUUGGGAGCACUUGUGUCCUAACCCAGAAUGGCCAGACAAUGGCAAGGUUUUCAAAAGACCAGAUGUCCUCAAGUAAAACAAAAAGAGAACCAAGAUAUUCACUCAGAUGCACUCCCUGUCCAAGUGUUAGCCUUCUUUUCUUCAGAUGACGGGCAAAGACUCCCAAGUAGAUGAGGUUUCUUAUUUCUCCUUUUGUGCCCUAACACAGCACAGUUUUUAAAACAUUGAGGUACAAGUCACAUAACAUAAAAUUAACCCAUUUCAAAAUAUGCGAUUCAGUGGCAUUUAGUCUAUUCACCACAUUGCAGAACCAUUGUCUCUGCCGAGUGCCAAACUUCCUGCACAUUUUGCCCUGGGUUUGAUAGAUGUUCAUCAGCCGGACACUGGACAGUUCAUUUCCUGAGGCCAAUAUCUAUGUGCAUGUCAUCUACUUAGAGAUUCUCUUGUAAGCAUUCCUAAGAUGCUCUGCAAAUCCUACUUCAAUAGAAUUCCAUGCACUUUCUUCCCAAUUUCUUCUGAGCAGUACUUUUGAGGCUGGAUUGGGGAUCAGAAUCUAGGCUCCUUCCUACCAGGUACCUGGUUCUAUUACUGAGUCAAAACAACAAGCUUCGUGGUGAAGCAAAUUCUCUGUCCUAUCUUCUCUGAAGAUGUUCU
rnacentral:lncRNA from 1 species